GACGAACGCUGGCGGCGUGCUUAACACAUGCAAGUCGAACGGAAAGGCCCUGCUUUUGUGGGGUGCUCGAGUGGCGAACGGGUGAGUAACACGUGAGUAACCUGCCCUUGACUUUGGGAUAACUUCAGGAAACUGGGGCUAAUACCGGAUAGGAGCUCCUGCUGCAUGGUGGGGGUUGGAAAGUUUCGGCGGUUGGGGAUGGACUCGCGGCUUAUCAGCUUGUUGGUGGGGUAGUGGCUUACCAAGGCUUUGACGGGUAGCCGGCCUGAGAGGGUGACCGGCCACAUUGGGACUGAGAUACGGCCCAGACGCCUACGGGAGGCAGCAGUGGGGAAUAUUGCACAAUGGGCGGAAGCCUGAUGCAGCAACGCCGCGUGCGGGAUGACGGCCUUCGGGUUGUAAACCGCUUUCGCCUGUGACGAAGCGUGAGUGACGGGAAUGGGGAAAGAAGCACCGGCUAACUACGU
rnacentral:rRNA from 1 species